UACGUAGGGGGCAAGCGUUGUCCGGAAUCAUUGGGCGUAAAGAGCGUGUAGGCGGCUCGAUAAGUCUGCUGUGAAAGUCCAGGGCUCAACCCUGGAAGGCCGGUGGAAACUGUCGGGCUAGAGUCCGGAAGAGGCGAGUGGAAUUCCCGGUGUAGCGGUGAAAUGCGCAGAUAUCGGGAGGAACACCAGUAGCGAAGGCGGCUCGCUGGGCCAUUCCUGACGCUGAGACGCGAAAGCUAGGGUAGCAAACGGG
rnacentral:rRNA from 1 species